GCUAAUACAUGCGCACAUACCUCUUCCCUCGUGGAAGGGUAGUGUUUAUUAGAUACAGAACCAACCCACCUUCGGGUGGUCCYCAGGUGAUUCAUAGUAACCGAACGGAUCGCAUUAUGACCUUUUGGUCGGCGAUGGAUCAUUCAAGUUUCUGACCUAUCAGCUUUCGACGGUACUGUAUUGGACUACCGUGGCAGUGACGGGUAACGGGGAAUUAGGGUUCGAUUCCGGAGAGGGAGCCUGAGAAACGGCUACCACAUCUAAGGAAGGCAGCAGGCGCGCAAAUUACCCAAUCCUGACUCAGGGAGGUAGUGACAAGAAAUAACAACACUGGAAAUUAUAUUUCUAGUGAUUGGAAUGAUGGGAAUCCAAACCCCUUUCAGAGUAACAAUUGGAGGGCAAGUCUGGUGCCAGCAGCCGCGGUAAUUCCAGCUCCAAUAGCGUAUAUUAAAGUUGUUGCAGUUAAAAAGCUCGUAGUUGGAUAUCUGCUGGAAGCAGCCAGUCCGCCCUUUGUGGGUGUGCACUUGGUGAAUUCUGGCAUCCUCCUGAUUGGUGUCAUCAUCACUUUAUUGUGUUGGUGGCAGCUGUCAGGACCGUUACUUUGAGAAAAUUAGAGUGUUUCAAGCAGGCUUGUUGCCUUGAAUACUGCAGCAUGGAAUAACAAGAUAGGAUUUCGGUUCUAUUUUGUUGGUUUCUAGGACUGAAGUAAUGAUUAAUAGGGACAGUUGGGGGCAUUCGUAUUUAACUGUCAGAGGUGAAAUUCUUAGAUUUGUUAAAGACGAA
rnacentral:rRNA from 1 species